GACGAACGCUGGCGGCGUGCUUAACACAUGCAAGUCGAACGAAGUGGCGCACGGGUGAGUAACGCGUAAUCAACCUGCCCUUCAGAGGGGGACAACAGUUGUAAACGACUGCUAAUACCCCAUACUUAAUGAUGGGAUUGUGUCUGAUUAGCUAGUUGGAGGGGUUACGGCCCACCAAGGCGAUGAUCAGUAGCCGGUAUGAGAGGAUGCACGGCCACGUUGGGACUGAGACACGGCCCAGACUCCUACGGGAGGCAGCAGUGGGGAAUCUUCCGGAAUGGACGGAAGUCUGACGGCGCAACGCCGCGUAAGUGAUGACGGCCUUCGGGUUGUAAAGCUCUGUUAAUCGGGACGCGGUACCGGAAUAGAAAGCCACGGCUAACUACGUGCCAGCCGCCGCGGUAAUAC
rnacentral:rRNA from 1 species